AGAGUUUGAUCCUGGCUCAGAAUGAACGCUGGCGGCGUGCUUAACACAUGCAAGUCGUGCGCGAAGGCGGCUUCGGCUGCCGGAGAGCGGCGAACGGGUGAGUAACACGUGGGUAAUCUGCCUGGGAGUGGGGGAUAACCUGGGGAAACCCGGGCUAACACCGCAUACGAUGCCGGGUCUAAGGAUCUGGUCUGAAAGCUGGCCUCUGCUUGCAAGCUAGCGCUCCCAGAGGAGCCCGCGGCUGAUUAGCUGGUUGGUGGGGUAAUGGCCUACCAAGGCGACGAUCAGUAGCCGGCCUGAGAGGGUGAUCGGCCACACUGGAACUGAGACACGGUCCAGACUCCUACGGGAGGCAGCAGUGGGGAAUAUUGGACAAUGGGCGCAAGCCUGAUCCAGCAACGCCGCGUGGAGGACGAAGGUCUUCGGAUCGUAAACUCCUGUCAGACGGGACGAAGGUCUGGGGGUGAAUAACUCUCAGGCUUGACGGUACUGUCAGAGGAAGCCCCGGCUAACUCCGUGCCAGCAGCCGCGGUAAUACGGAGGGGGCGAGCGUUAUUCGGAAUUAUUGGGCGUAAAGGGCGCGUAGGCGGCUUGAUAAGUCAAAGGUGAAAUCCCUCGGCUCAACUGAGGAACUGCCUUUGAAACUGUCUGGCUUGAGGCCGGGAGGGGGUAGCGGAAUUCCCAGUGUAGCGGUGAAUGCGUAGAUAUUGGGAGGAACACCGGUGGCGAAGGCGGCUACCUGGACCGGUUCUGACGCUGAUGCGCGAAAGCGUGGGUAGCAAACAGGAUUAGAUACCCUGGUAGUCCACGCUGUAAACGAUGGGUGCUCGGUGUCGCGGGUAUCGACCCCUGCGGUGCCUUAGCUAACGCGUUAAGCACCCCGCCUGGGGAGUACGGUCGCAAGGCUGAAACUCAAAGGAAUUUGACGGGGGCCCGCACAAGCGGUGGAGCAUGUGGUUUAAUUCGAUGCAACGCGAAGAACCUUACCUGGGCUUGAACUGUGGUGGACCGCUCCUGGAAACAGGGCUUCCCCUUCGGGGGCCGCCAUAGAGGUGCUGCAUGGCUGUCGUCAGCUCG
rnacentral:rRNA from 1 species